UCUACAUCGUCGAACUAAAGGUCCGCUCUGCAAUAGCACAGAACAGAAAGAAGUUAGCAGCCACAAUUCCUCUUCACCUACAGUCAAGCAGAAUUUAGCUCUGUGUAUACUUACUCUGUAGGUUUCCUCUCUUCAACCACUGGUUUCUUUUUCUUGGCUGCUUGCUCGCCGUUUGACUUUCCACUGUCCUUUUUCCUUUUUGGAGCAGCAGACGGUUUUGUCUCUGAGACAGCUGGAACCUUUGAG